rnacentral:rRNA from 1 species
CUCCAGACUCCUACGGGAGGCAGCAGUGGGGGAUAUUGCACAAUGGGGGGAACCCUGAUGCAGCGACGCCGCGUGGGUGAAGAAGCGCCUCGGCGCGUAAAGCCCUGUCAGCAGGGAAGAAAAUGACGGUACCUGAAGAAGAAGCCCCGGCUAACUACGUGCCAGCAGCCGCGGUAAUACGUAGGGGGCAAGCGUUAUCCGGAUUUACUGGGUGUAAAGGGAGCGUAGACGGCUAAUCAAGUCAGAAGUGAAAACCCAGGGCUCAACUUUGGGACUGCUUUUGAAACUGAGUAGCUAGAGUGCAGGAGAGGUAAGCGGAAUUCCUAGUGUAGCGGUGAAAUGCGUAGAUAUUAGGAGGAACACCAGUGGCGAAGGCGGCUUACUGGACUGUAACUGACGUUGAGGCUCGAAAGCGUGGGGAGCAAACAGGAUUAGAUACCCGCGUAG